rnacentral:lncRNA from 1 species
GUGACGUGUCCGAAGCUACAGAGCAGGUCUGUCGACACUUCCUGCCGGCCCACUGGAAAAGCUGCUGCCGCCAGUGCUUCACGGCUCCCACAGAGCUGGCGUGACAUUGCCGCGACACUCGGCGAGCAUGCCGGAGUUCCUGAGCCCGGGAUCAUGCCCAUGUCGUAGCAGGGACCUGAGCUACAGCAGUGACAAUGCUGAGCCACCGGGGAACUUCCUGCAGGAAACCUUUUAUACAAACCAAAAUCAUUAAAGGACGGGGCUCAUCGCUAGAGAAAUUGCAAAGAAACAACAUAGAAAACAAGCUGUUAUGGAGGCCAGAGCUGACAGGAGGGGAACAGCCUGUGCAAAGGUGUGGAGUGAGAGUGAGGCCGUGGGGUGAGCCCAGCACUGAGCACCUAGGAUCCUUCAGGCCGAUGCAAUAGGAGACCAAGAGGUGAAGGUUCCUUCUCCAGAGACAGAGACCUGGGGGGAUCCUGACCCAGAAACACCCAAGCAGCCGACCCCACCCCCACCCGCCACUGCAGGACAGAAGGAUGAAGCGUCCUCUCUGGAGUAAUGGGUCUCCACACUCGCCCCUAAAACCGGACUUGCUACCAGAUCACCACAAUGAAGCUUCCAGUCAACUAGUUCCACCCCCCUACCCCAUCCUGAAGUCAGGCACCCAGCUUCCCAUCGGGUUGUUGCCUGUAAGGGUCACCAGGAAAAAACAGGGACCAAAAAUCAAGAAACACCUGGAGGAGUUCCCGUCGUGGCGCAGUGGUUAACGAAUCCGACUAGGAACCAUGAGGUUGCGGGUUCGGUCCCUGCCCUUGCUCAGUGGGUUAACAAUCCGGCGUUGCCGUGAGCUGUGGUGUAGGUUGCAGACGCGGCUCGGAUCUCGCAUUGCUGUGGCUCUGGCGUAGGCCAGUGGCUACAGCUCUGAUUCAAUCCCUAGCCUGGGAACCUCCAUAUGCCGCGGGAGCGGCCCAAGAAAUAGCAAAAAGACAAAAAAAAAAAAAAAAAAAAAAAAAGAAACACCUGGAGGAAACAGAUAAUGCAGCAGCAGAGCAAAACUGAAACAACAAACCAGCAAGAGAAGCAAAAUGAAACUUUUUGGGGUUUUUUUGCUUUUUUUUUUUUUUUUUUGCUUUUUAGGGCCACACCUGUGGCAUCUGGAGGUUCCCAGGCCAGGGGUCAAAUAGGAGCUGUAGCUGCCAGCCACAGCCACAGCCACAGCCACGCUCACUUAACCCACUGAGCGAGGCCAGGGAUCCAACCUGCGUCCUCAUGGAUGCUAAUCAGAUUCAUUAACACUGAGCCAUGAUGGGAACUCCCUGAGGUGAAACUCUAAGCAGAAAGUUUGAAAGGUAACAUGAAGGAAAUCUCUCAGAACUAGGCAAAAAGGGAGAAUAGGAAAAAAAAAUAAAGAAACGAGAAAACUGGAAGAUCGAUCCCGG